UGAAGGUUUGGUCCUGGCCUUAGUAUUAAUUGUAACCAGAAUUAUACAUGCAAGUUUCAGCAUCCCUGUGAAAAUGCCCUAGCUACUCUGUCAAUUAGUUAGGAGCGGGUAUCAGGCACACAUACAUGUAGCCCAAGACACCUUGCUAAGCCACACCCCCAAGGGAUUUCAGCAGUAAUAAAUAUUGAUUAUAUGAGCGCAAGCUCGAAUCAGUUAAAGUUAACAGAGUUGGUCAAUCUCGUGCCAGCCACCGCGGUUAUACGAGUAACUCACAUUAAUACUCCCCCGGCGUAAAGAGUGAUUUAAGGAACAUCUAACAACAACUAAAGUUCAGACCUUAUCAAGCUGUCACACGCGCCCACAAGCGGAAUUAUCAACAACGAAAGUGACUUUACCCCACUAGAAAUCUUGAUGUCACGACAGUUAGACCCCAAACUAGGAUUAGAUACCCUACUAUGUCUAACCACAAACUUAAACAAUAAUUCACUAUAUUGUUCGCCAGAGUACUACAAGCGCUAGCUUAAAACCCAAAGGACUUGGCGGUGUCCCAAACCCACCUAGAGGAGCCUGUUCUGUAACCGAUAAUCCCCGUUAAACCUCACCACUUCUAGCCAUUCCCGUCUAUAUACCGCCGUCGUCAGCUCACCCUGUGAAGGCUUAAAAGUAAGCAAAAAGAACCAACUUCCACACGUCAGGUCGAGGUGUAGCGAAUGAAGUGGAUAGAAAUGGGCUACAUUUUCUAUAAAGAAAACACGAAUGGUAAACUGAAAAAUUACCUAAAGGUGGAUUUAGCAGUAAGAAAAGACUAGAGAGCUUCUCUGAAACCGGCUCUGGGACGCGCACACACCGCCCGUCACUCUCCUCGAAAAAAAUCUACUUAUUUUUAAUUAAAGAAAAAUGCCAAGAGGAGGCAAGUCGUAACAUGGUAAGUGUACUGGAAAGUGCACUUGGAAU
rnacentral:ncRNA from 1 species